AUUGAACGCUGGCGGCAUGCCUUACACAUGCAAGUCGAACGGCAGCACGGGAGCAAUCCUGGUGGCGAGUGGCGAACGGGUGAGUAAUAUAUCGGAACGUGCCCAGUAGUGGGGGAUAACUGCUCGAAAGAGCAGCUAAUACCGCAUACGACCUGAGGGUGAAAGGGGGGGAUCGCAAGACCUCUCGCUAUUGGAGCGGCCGAUAUCAGAUUAGCUAGUUGGUGGGGUAAAGGCCUACCAAGGCAACGAUCUGUAGUUGGUCUGAGAGGACGACCAGCCACACUGGAACUGAGACACGGUCCAGACUCCUACGGGAGGCAGCAGUGGGGAAUUUUGGACAAUGGGCGAAAGCCUGAUCCAGCCAUUCCGCGUGCAGGAUGAAGGCCCUCGGGUUGUAAACUGCUUUUGUACAGAACGAAAAGGUUUCUACUAAUACUAGGAGCUCAUGACGGUACUGUAAGAAUAAGCACCGGCUAACUACGUGCCAGCCGCCGCCGUAACAC
rnacentral:rRNA from 1 species